GCGACCAGUCGACUACGCCGCGCCGUCACCGCUACGUACAAACAACUACGGAAACAGUCUGUGACUUUGUGUACUCUAAAUUUUUAAUUGCUCUGUGAGUGGAUUUGUGCCUGUGAAGUGGUGAUAUCAAGGUACUGCUGCGGUUACACAACCACAACAAAGGCUACAAAAUAGAUAGUAUUUACGAGCCAGCGACAGCGACGCGUAUAGAACAAGCAUCAAUCCGUGCGCGAACAAAGGAGCACGUUACGAAGUGAAAUAGUUUCAAUUUGUAUCGAAAGUUUGAAUGUGAGCGAGAGCGGCGAGAAGUGGCAGGUGUUGCGGGGACCAU